GUUGCAAAAAUAAAUACGAGAAUGCUGAUUUCAUCUAGACUCGGUGUAGAAAAUUAUCCAUUUGCCUGUAUACGUAUACGUAGAAUUCCAGAUUUAAAGAUCGACUCUUGUUUUAUGUAUGUUCAUACAUGAUGAGAUGUGACACUGGAAGCCAUCCUCAAUAUGAAUAUUACAGAAGCGAGCCACUCUUCUAUCUCUUCAUCAAACACUGCUUCUCUCAUUAAAGAAGAAGAUCUGUCAGAAUAUGAGGAAGGUGGUGAUGACGAUUUGGGAUGGAUUGAAGAGGAGGAUAGCGGUGGAGAAUACACGGCUGACAGACACCCUCUGGAAGAAGGUCAUGGUCAAAGUCAAGGUCAAGAAAAGAAAAGAGGUCUCAGCCACACUUCACUGACGCCUGAAACUAUUCUUGCAAUGGAAGCAGCAAGUUUGGAAAGACAAGAUUCUCUGACUAAUGGUCGAAGCUCGUCAUCCGGUCAAAGAGGAAGUGACCUGCACCCCGAGCAGAAGGUUCCUGGAGCGAGAAUGUCAAUUGGUACCACGGGAAUAUCAAGUCCUUUAAGAGCUUUUCAGAAUGGGUUUGGCCAUUGCAGCGAGGGUGACUCUGGGGGCCCUUCUCUCUACUAUUGUGGGGAAUGCAGUAGGUUCCCAACUGAUUGCAAAUGCUAUGCCAGGCAUGUAAGGGGUCAUGCAGGAGCCGGAGAUGUAGAAAAGGAGAGAGGACAAAGAGACACAAAGGAUAUUAUGCAGGAACAAUAUGAAGAGAGAUCUGUGAUUGAAGGCGAUGAUUCAGAAGUCUGGAAGCAAUCAGGGUUGAGGUCUAGAGGAAGGGUGCCUUCCAAAUUCCAGAAUGGUGCGGAAACUAGUGCUGAUAAUGAAGAUGAUGCAGUCGAGAGAAGAAAACAGCUUGUUCUGAAAGAAAAUGAUCACAUUGAUAUCUGUGAUGGUAAUGGUUCUUCUGGAGCCAUUACCAACAACCCCAAAGUAAACAAAAGAUGUCAAGUUCGGAUGGGACGGCCAGUGAAAGACAAAUCUCGAUUACAGUGUCCGCAGUGUGGCCGUGGCUUCAAGAGAAAACCAGACCUUGAACGCCACUUCCGUGUUCACUCGGGCGAGAAACCCUUUGCCUGUGAACUCUGCGACAUGCGCUUCACCCGUAACUUUGGACUGCGCUGCCACAUGAGAACGCAUGCAGGGCUGAAGAUUCACACGUGCGGCACCUGUGGCAAAUCGUACAGCCGGCGUUACGACCUGGCGAAGCACGAGAAAGCCGUUCACACUGGGGAACUCAACCACAUUUGCUGUGAAUGCGACAAACGGUUUGUCACUGCGCAGCUCCUCCGUGUCCACAAGCGGACGCACACCAACUCGCAGCCGUACCUCUGCCAGGAAUGUGGCCACAGGAGUAACCAUCGCAGCGACCUCAAGAAGCACAUGAGGGUCCACACCAACGAGAGACCUUAUUGCUGUUCGAUCUGUAAGAAAAGCUUCCUACAGAGUGGGUGUUUGGCCAGUCACAUGUCACAUUCUCACAGCAAGUAAAGUCCUACAAAACCACCACAGUGGUUUAUCAUGUGAAUGGAAUGGGGCGUACACAUACCACCCUGCACACGUCAGGUCAGCUUGGAUUGUACUGAAGGCAAGCAAGAACUAUUCAAGAACUCAUUCUGCUUCUUUGUACUGCCACACCUUGUAAAUCCUCCGUUUGUUAGCUACGUCAUUCCAGCCGGAUCAUGGAUGGAGUAAAAAUCAUGGCCA
rnacentral:misc_RNA from 1 species